CCUACGGGAGGCAGCAGUGGGGAAUUUUGCGCAAUGCUCGUAAGACUGACGCAGCGACGCCGCGUGAAUGACGAAGGCCUUCGGGUCGUAAAGCUCUUUCGACAGGGAAGAAAAUGCCUAUAAGUAACUGUGUAUGUAUUGCCGGUACCUGUAUAAGCAGCCCCGGCUAACUCCGUGCGAGCAGCCGCGGUAAUACGGGGGGGGCGUGCGUUGUUCGGAGUGGCGGGGCGUAAAGGGAGCGUAGGCGGUGUUGUAAGUCAUGAGUGAAAGACUAGGGCUCAACGUUAGUAAUGCUAGUGAUACUAGAAGACUGGAGUAUCAGAGAGGAUUGCAGAAUUACUGGUGUAGCGGUGAAAUGCGUAGAUAUCAGGAGGAAAACCGGUAGCGAAGGCGGCAAUCUGGCUGGAAACUGACGCUGAGGUGCGAAAGCGUGGGUAGCAAACAGGAUUAGAUACCCGGGUAGUC
rnacentral:rRNA from 1 species